CAGAAAAUAGUUUAUGAAAAAUAUUAGUUUUGGAGACUAAAGAAGGAGGGGUCUUUUUUUCUGA
rnacentral:tRNA from 1 species